AUUUAGAGUAAGGUUUCUAUUGAUCUUUUUCAGAUAAGGCCUCUUCAUUUUCAACUGUGAAGGAUCUACAUGGACUUGGUCUGGAUAGCCUUUCCUGUUUUGAUGAGCCAGUCGGGUCUAGAGGGAAAACCCUAUAUGAGCCCCAGGAUCCUUGCUCCUGAUAUCCUGAUGUAUGGGUUGCACUUCAU